rnacentral:rRNA from 1 species
GCAGUCGACGAGCGAGAGAGAGCUUGCUUUCUCGAGCGAGUGGCGAACGGGUGAGUAACGCGUGAGGAACCUGCCUCAAAGAGGGGGACAACAGUUGGAAACGACUGCUAAUACCGCAUUAGCCCACGGGUCGGCAUCGACCAGAGGGAAAAGGAGCAAUCCGCUUUGAGAUGGCCUCGCGUCCGAUUAGCUAGUUGGUGAGGUAAUGGCCCACCAAGGCGACGAUCGGUAGCCGGACUGAGAGGUUGAACGGCCACAUUGGGGCUGAGACACGGCCCAGACUCCUACGGGAGGCAGCAGUGGGGAAUAUUGCACAAUGGGGGAAACCCUGAUGCGGCGACGCCGCGUGGAGGAAGAAGGUCUUCGGAUUGUAAACUCCUGUUGUUGGGGAAGAUAAUGACGGUACCCAACAAGGAAGUGACGGCUAACCACGUGCCAGCAGCCGCGGUAAAACGUAGGUCACAAGCGUUGUCCGGAAUUACUGGGUGUAAAGGGAGCGCAGGCGGGAAGACAAGUUGGAAGUGAAAUCUAUGGGCUCAACCCAUAAACUGCUUUCAAAACUGUUUUUCUUGAGUAGUGCAGAGGUAGGCGGAAUUCCCGGUGUAGCGGUGGAAUGCGUAGAUAUCGGGAGGAACACCAGUGGCGAA